AUUAUGACGUAUAAAUGGGUUUAGACCGUAGGGUGGACAGCCAGGCCCAGUGGGCUCUGCACACAUUUCCUCGCCUUCGCCCUGGCCUGUCUCAUGGAAGGCUGGGUCAUUUUAUAGAAAUGAUCUCCCCGAAUGGGAGCAGUGGGAAAAUGAGGGUACACUGACCGGUAACUGGACGUUUGGAAUGGAAAGUCCAGGAAACAGCCAUAGAAAGACUAACCAGUGUGCCGUUAGGGUGCAAGUCUCUUGGCUCUCCUCACCAGCCGUCCACACCCCCAGCCUGCCCCAAGACUUCCCGCGCUCGCAAAGGAUUGUGGGCCAGCCCCCCACCGCCGCUGGGGAAAACGCUCGGCGUCCGGGCGCGUCACCCACCCGCCGACACCUUCCCACGAGUCGGGCCUGGCGUUUGGGGGUUUCUGAGACCGUUAGAGCUUCACGGCCUGCCUAGUUCAAGAAGAUAGCUGGAAAAAAGAUAUACAACUGCCAUUGUCUGUUAUAUGACAGAGUUGACCUGUUGACCAGGAGUGUUGUAUCACAGAUGAUGAUAGCAUUUGAAGACCUGGCUGUGAUGUGAUGUGAUGCUGGAGACCUACAGCAGCCUGCUCUCCUUGGAUGCCUUGGAAAGGAAUGAUCUGAGUAAGAUCUACCAAAAAAGUCAGGACAAAAAUCUGAAUCAGGAUGUUAUGAAAAAUAAUAAAACAUCAACUCCCAAGAUGAUUAAAUUAAGGAAAAACUUAAUUUUAGUUCAAGCCAUAUUCCAACACUGAAUAUCAAAAAAAGAAACUAUUCAGGAAUUAAACCUGAAGAAUGCAAUAUAUGUCACAAUGUGUAUCCCAUUGUGGGCCUGAUCAACUACAAGCUGGAGUGAAAUUUGAUGCUACCAAGAUACCUGGGAAUGGUCUCCAAUUCUGUGAGCCUCUUAACCAACAGCACAAAAUUCAAACCGUGGAGCAGGUACUUGAACAAAUUGGACAAGGGAAAAUUUUCAAAAGGAAGAAUAUAUUUUGUGAAUCUGAGAAGCUUUUUAUUGUAGAAACUUAUAAUAAGUCAACUGCCACUAUUGGCAAGACAACUCAAGUAGUACAAGAUUUCCAUAAAAAUUCUAACCUCAGUAAGCAUCAACAAAGUCCUGGAAGAGAGAAAGUUUAUAAAUACAUCAAGCCUGUGGAAUCUGUCAUUUACCAAUCACAUGUUAGAAUGAAUCAUAGAUCAAAUAUAGGGAAGAAAUCCUAUUCCUGUAAAACUUGUGGGAAAUCAUUCAGUAAUAAAUUCUGCCAUAUCCUCCAUCACAGCACUCACGUAGUGGAAAACCCUCAUGUGUGUAUUGAAUGUGUAGAAAUCACUUACCAGAAGUCAGAUUUCAUUAGACAUCAGAGAAUUCACACAGGGUUGAAAUCUUAUAAAUGUAAUGACUGUGAGAAAGUCUUUGGCCAGAAGUCAAACCUCAUAAAUCAUCAGAGAAUACACGGGCGAGAAACCUUAUGAAUUUAAUGACUGUGGAAAAUCCUUUGGCCAGAAGUCAAACCUCAUAUAUCAUCAGAGAAUUCACAAAGGGGAGAAACCUUAUGAAUGUAAUCAUUGUGGAAACGCCUUUUGCCAUAAGUCAAACCUCACAAAGCAUCAGAGAAGUCACACAGGGGAGAAACGCAAUGACUGUGGAAAAGCCUUUGGCCAGAAGUCAAACCUCAUAACUCAUCAGAGAAUUCACACAGGGCAGAAAGAUUAUGAAGGUAAUGACUGUGGCAAAGUCUUUAUGCAUAAGUCACAUCUUAUUCUACAUCAGAGAAUUCACACAGUAAAAACCUUAUGAAUGUAAUGACCGUGGAAAAACCUUUCUGUUGAAAAAUUAUCUUGUCAAACAUCAGAGAAUUCACACAGUAGAUAAAACCUAUGAAUACAAUGACUGUGGAAAAAAAUUAUGUGGAAGAAAGAUCUUAUCAGACAUCAGAAAAUUCACACAGGGGAGAAACCUUAUGAAUGUAGUGACUGUGCAAAAGCCUUUCUGCAUAAGUCACAUCUCAUUCAACAUCAGAGAAUUCAGACAGGGGAAAAACCUUAUGAAUGCAAUAACUAUGAAAAAGCCUUUGGCCAAAAGUCAACCCUCAUAAAUCAUCAGGGAACCCACACGGUGGAGAAAUCUUAUGAAUGUAAUGACUGUGGAAAAGCCUUUUUGCGCAAAUCAGAACUCAUCAGACAUCAGAGAAGUCACACAAAGGAGAAAUCCUAUGAAAGCAAUGACUGUGCAAAAGGGUUUGGUCACAAAUCAAGCCUCAUAAGUCAGAGAAUUCACACAGGGCAGAAAGUUUAUGAGUGUAAUGAGUGUGGAAAAGUCUUUUGGAGGCAGUCAGAUCUCAUCCCACAUCAGAAAAUUCACCCAGGAGAAAACCUUAUGAAUGUAAAAACUGUGGAAAAGCCUUUGGCAAGAAGUCAAACAUCAUAAUUCAUCAGAGAAUUAGCUCAGAGGAAUAACCGUAUGAAUGCAAUGACUGUGGAAAAGUCUUUGGCCAAAAUUCAAGCCUCAACUCCUCACAGAAUUCCCACAGGGGAGAAACCUUCUGAAUACAACGACUGUGAAAAAUGUUUUGAAUAUAAGCUACACAUCAUUAGAUAACAACAUCAUGAAUGUAAUGAUGGUGGAAAGCCUGUUGCUAUAAUUCACAACUAAUAAAACAUCAGAGAAUUCACACCAGGAAUUUUCCACAACAUUGCCUUUUUGUGCAAGUUACAUCUCACCAAACAUUAAGUGUGGAUAUGCCUCUGGUACCAAUCAUACCUCAUCAAACAUAAAAGAAUUAACAUGCAAGAAAUCUUUUGAAUGUAAUGACUCAGAAAGACUUUUACCAUAAUUCAGUCCUCAUUGCACAUCUUCAAAUUCAUAUAGGGAAUAAACCCUUUGAAAGUAA